UACGGAUUCGACAGGGAUAGGUCGAGCUUGGGUUGCGUGUCGAGGUUACGACUCGUUAAACGUUACUCAGUUAAAUAUAACUGGCAAAGAAAACAAUUACUCUUUAGCAGCUGCGUAAGCACUGCUGAAGGAUCCUUCCUACCAUCGCCCAUGUGGUAGAUUGAAGGGUCUCAAACUUAGUGGGCUACGCUGUUCAGUCGCCGUCUUAGGCUGACAGAAGAGACCAAUAAGACUAGUCACUUGGAAGCCUGUCGAUAGGCCGAAGAGUUGACGAAAUACUAAUAUAUCGACUACACACGUAGACGCCUAAGUGCCGAUAUCUCUGGACGUGGGUUCGAUUA
rnacentral:tmRNA from 1 species